rnacentral:ncRNA from 2 species
UCAAGUGAAUACCAUCGCGGUGACCCGCAGGCCCGGAUGCCAGGGCGUAAAGGUGGAAGCUGGUGUAAGUCCAGCGCUGUGCCGCAACUGUAACCGGUGACAAUCACCGGAAGCCAGGACGCCUGCCGCGAUGUUGAAUGUGUU